UUGACGGGGCCCGCACAAGCGGUGAGCAUGUGGUUAAUUCGAUGCAACGCGAAGAACCUUACCUGGGCUUGACAUCCCGGGAAUCCCUUGGAAACAAGGGAGUGCCCUUCGGGGAACCUGGAGACAGGUGCUGCAUGGCUGUCGUCAGCUCGUGUCGUGAGAUGUAGGGUUAAGUCCCGCAACGAGCGCAACCCUUAUCCUUUGUUGCCAGCGGUCCGGCCGGGAACUCAAAGGAGACUGCCAGUGAUAAACUGGAGGAAGGUGGGAUGACGUCAAGUCAUCAUGGCCCUUACGACCAGGGCUACACACGUGCUACAAUGGCGCAUACAAAGAGAAGCGACCUCGCGAGAGCAAGCGGACCUCAUAAAGUGCGUCGUAGUCCGGAUUGGAGUCUGCAACUCGACUCCAUGAAGUCGGAAUCGCUAGUAAUCGUGGAUCAGAAUGCCACGGUGAAUACGUUCCCGGGCCUU
rnacentral:rRNA from 1 species